GGGGAUAUAGCCCAGUUGGUAGAGUAUUUGCCUUACAUGCACAAGGCCCUGGGUUCAAAUCCCAGCACCA
rnacentral:tRNA from 1 species